ACGCUCGACACCUACGGUAGGCAGCAGUGGGGAAUAUUGCACAAUGGGGGAAACCCUGAUGCAGCGACGCCGCGUGAGCGAAGAAGUAUUUCGGUAUGUAAAGCUCUAUCAGCAGGGAAGAAACUGACGGUACCUGACUAAGAAGCACCGGCUAAAUACGUGUCAGCAGCCGCGGUAAUCUGAGCGGGCUGGCAAGGC
rnacentral:rRNA from 1 species